CCCUUCUGAGUUCUUAAUUGGAAUGCACCCCUGUAACAAAGGAGAUUAACAAGGGGAAAACAAACAUCACUUUAGUAAUAUGUGUACCUUCCUGUCUCAACAAAAGAAAUUUAAGCCCCUCUGAAUUCAGUCUUAACUAUUAUCAUCUGCUGAAACAAAGAAAGAACUGUGUUGGGACUACUUCUGGGGAGGUAACUGGGAAAAGCAUGAUAAACAAGGGAGGAGGAAGAGAAACAAAAAGCGGAAGAGGAAGAAAAGAAAACUGUAAGAGGAUCUUGUGUUAACCUAGGAGUUAUCUAGCGCUUUCUGGAAUCCGCGCAGUCAGUAGGAGCCAGCAAUCUCCCACAGGACGUUUUCUAAAGUUUAAGUUACUAUGUCAAAGCAGCAUCAUGAAACCUGCAGCCAGAGAGCCGAAGGUCGGCUUUGCCACCCUUUCAACCACCUCAAGUUUUUCCUGCCAGUGUGAGAAAGAAGGCCCAAAGAGAAGGUCCUCCUAGAAAGCAGAAAGCUUUCCCCCUACCUUCCACCAUGCCCACUGUCACAAGGAUUUGCUGGGG